UCCAGAGGCAAUGCCAAUGCGAUGUUGUC
rnacentral:piRNA from 1 species